ACAUGGCACCCGGAAGCACUUCUGUCCGGAAGGGAACGUGUAAUUUGUUUGAAAUGGUCAGAACAAGUGUUUUAAAUGUCCCACCACGGACACAAAGCAUCUUUUAAAACACUUUUCUGUACACAUAACUGCACCAGGAUGUGUGACUUUCUCGACAUCUGGUGGUUCCGGCUCAUCCACAUGGCUCCCCUUUAAGGGCAUUCAAUCGAUCCCAACAGGACUGUUUUGUCAUGAUGCGGAGUCGAACCCACGUUUCCUCUGCAGCUGGAGCUGCAGGCACUUCUGUUAACCCCUCUGCUGGCAGCACACUCAGACACACCUCUGCUCGCGCUGAGCACAACACGCCCACACAGCAACAAGCCUGCAAGCAAUCAGUCAUCAGAGCACCUGGACCUGACGAGGGGGAGCGGCAUAAAGACCAGCGGACCCAAGGAACCUUUGCCAGAACGUCGCUAACCUUCCAUGACUCUCCUGACCUCCGUGAUCGUGCCUUGUCACUCGACACCCAUCCGGAUUUCUAACUGCCCUCCUCGAUCCACGACCUCCCUGCUCGGACCUAGACCACGCUGCCCUGCUCUUGCCCACGACCACUUGCCUGUCCACGAACUGCCUCUUCGCCUUUCCCCUUGGAUAACGACGAAAGAUACAACCAACAUUUACAGACAACAACCCUUGGUAACAUUUACAUUAUUAAUUUUACACAUAGUCAACACUCACUCACUUUGAGUAGCAUACACACGCCACGUAUUCAUCAAAGGUUUCAAAUAAACCUUGUAAACCUCAGUCCUGCCCUGGUUGUCACCUCCUUCC